UAGGCAUAAGAUGUUCAUGGAUAGGCACAAGGAUGCUUGACCAAAGAUGUCUCUGUUGUACUGUAGAGAAGAAAAGCUAAAGACAUUGUCAGGAGUAGUACUGUGAUCUCCGUGAGAGAUCAUUGAUAUCUGCAAGUGUUGAAAAAUAUAUAUACUGUAUUAAAAAUACGUUUUAAGCCUUCAUACCUGUGAACAUUGUAAUAUCAUGGAUAGGCACAAGAUGUUCAUGGAUAGGCACAAGAUGUUCAUGGAUAGGCACAAGAGGUUCAUGGAUAGGCACAAGAGGUUCAUGGAUAGGCACAAGAGGUUCAUGGAUAGGCACAAGAGGUUCAUGGAUAGGCACAAGAGGUUCAUGGAUAGGCACAAGAGGUUCAUGGAUAGGCACAAGAGGUUCAUGGAUAGGCACAAGAUGUUCAUGGAUAGGCACAAGAUGUUCAUGGAUAGGCACAAGAUGUUCAUGGAUAGGCACAAGAGGUUCAUGGAUAGGCACAAGAGGUUCAUGGAUAGGCACAAGAGGUUCAUGGAUAGGCACAAGAUGUUCAUGGAUAGGCACAAGAGGUUCAUGGAUAGGCACAAGAGGUUCAUGGAUAGGCACAAGAGGUUCAUGGAUAGGCACAAGAUGUUCAUGGAUAGGCACAAGAGGUUCAUGGAUAGGCACAAGAUGUUCAUGGAUAGGCACAAGAUGUUCAUGGAUAGGCACAAGAGGUUCAUGGAUAGGCGCAAUUAUGUUCAUGGAUAGGCGCAAUUAUGUUCAUGGAUAGGCUCAAUUAUGUUCAUGGAUAGGCGCAAUUAUGUUCAUGGAUAGGCGCAAUUAUGUUCAUGGAUAGGCGCAAUUAUGUUCAUGGAUAGGCGCAAUUAUGUUCAUGGAUAGGCACAAGAGGUUCAUGAAUAGGCACAAGAGGAUGCUUGAAAAGAUGUCUGUCGUACUGGAGAGAAGAAAAGCUAAAGACAUUGUCAGGAGUAGUACUGUGAUCUCCGUGAGAGAUCAUUGAUAUCUGCAAGUGUUACACUUACAAAUUACUUUAUCAUGAAUGCACUUAACAUGAAAUUAUAUUCUGAUGCUAGGUCAGAAUUACAUUUUAAUUUAGAAAAAUGCAAGUUUAGUAAAGUAUACAUUAUACUUUUUGUUAUAAAUGUGUAAUCUCCAGAUUUUAAAAGGAGAACUAGAUCUCUUUUUAUCCAAAACUGGAUGAUUGAUGAUUGGGAAGGAACAUGCUGAUCGAUCACAAUGGUUCAAUGAUCAUUUUGUAGGUACCACCUGUGUAGCAUCGGGUUGGGUGCUUUUCCCUUUAGAGAGCCCUGAAUACUUUUCGGCAUUGAUUGAACGAGUACUAGAAGUGUUUCCGUAGGGAUCACAAUCUGUACAGAUUUAGUAGCAUCACACAGAAUUGGCUGCCAAACUCUCAUGCUGCGAGCCUCUCCUUACACCUCAUCCCGAAGGAUUCAUGCUGUGUACUCCGAAUUCUGACCCUACCAUGUGUGCCACAGCAGAAAAUGUUUGUUGUCUAGGCAACAUUUCCUGGCCUUCUGUCAUGUAGUUUUGAUGAUCCCAUACCCACUGAAGUUUCAUAUUGUUGACAGGAGUGACAUUCAGAUGGCGUACGAUGUUGAAGCUCGUUCUUUUUAACUUUAAACCGGUUGUGUGUUGUGAGGGGACCUGCUGCGGCCCAAUGUUGUAAAAAGUAGGUGUUUGGACAGUUGUGGACUUCUAUAAGCUUGGACAAGUCUGAUCUCUCUGACUAACAAGAUAUCUUUGUUCACAGAACUGACAAGCAAUGGUUUAUUUUUGUAUUUUUUACGCCGUAAAACUUCGAGACCUUAGUGCAGGAAAAUCCCAGGAACUCAGCAUUUUCUGAGAUGCCACUACCAUCAUCUGGCACUCAGGAUCAUGCGAAGUCCUUUAGAUCAGGAUUUUUUUCAGUAAUUGGUCAAACGUGAAAUUCUUGACCUUGCCUUCAGGUUUUGCAUUGAAUGGCAAUAACUGUAUAUGAUUUACUAUUAAUUGCAUCCCUGCCGCCCACCCCAACAGUCUUUUAAAUAGUUCAGAAUGCCCAGAGGCCGGAAGAAUUGGCGAUCGUGUUACCAUUGUCACAAUGGUCACAUAGUUAGAAGCUGUUCCCGACAGGUACCAAUCUUUAGCCAGGACUGAGGGGUUGAUUUACUAAAA